GAUGAAGAACGUAGCGAAAUGCGAUAAGUAAUGUGAAUUGCAGAAUUCCGUGAAUCAUCGAAUCUUUGAACGCACAUUGCGCCCCCUGGCAUUCCGGGGGGCAUACCUGUCCGAGCGUCAUUUCUGCCCUCCAGCCCGGCUGGGUGUUGGGCGCUGUCCCCCCGGGGACACGCCCCAAAGGCAGUGGCGGCGCCGCGUCGGGUCCUCGAGCGUAUGGGGCUUUGUCACCCGCUCGGGACGGACUCGUCGGCGCUGGUCUUCCUCCAGGCGACCCUUCGGGGCUCGUCUUCCUUCGGUUGACCUCGGAUCAGGUAGGGUUACCCGCUGAACUUAAGCAUAUCAAUAAGCGGAGGA
rnacentral:misc_RNA from 1 species